AAACUUUCAACAACGGAUCUCUUGGUUCUGGCAUCGAUGAAGAACGCAGCGAAAUGCGAUAAGUAAUGUGAAUUGCAGAAUUCAGUGAAUCAUCGAAUCUUUGAACACACAUUGCGCCCCUUGGUAUUCCGAGGGGCAUGCCUGUUCGAGCGUCAUU
rnacentral:rRNA from 1 species